GUGUAACAUAUUAUAAGACUAUCCAAAGGAAAAACACAAUGAAGGUAUUUGUUAGCAGAACAACGAAGAAACCCUUCAGAGAGCACAAGAGGAAAAACAAGGCCUACUCCACCUUCAUCUACAAGAUCCGGAGAGAGGGUGACUGCAUCCCCAUCAUGGACCGUUUAUUGGUGAACGAGUCUACCUGCCCGCGGAGGUGCUGGUCCGUCUGGUCGGCUCCGAGGCCGCCCGCCUGUCACGGCUCAACAGGAGGAAAGUCAUCACCCAACUAGAGGUCCACACUGCCAUGGCACGGCUGAGACAAGGGAGAAAACAUGCCAGGCAACCGGGCGCCUGAAUGCUCUUAUGAACGCUUUUAAUUUUAUGUAUAUUUAAUAAAGAUGUCUUGUUUUUA